GCCCAUAAAUAACAACAAACAGUAUGGACCCCACCCCUAUACUCUUUGUUCUUCUUGUUCUAGUGAGAGAUGAACAUGAAACCCAGACGCGAUCCAACUCGAAACUCCAGUAAAUCGAUUCCAGCAGCAAAUCAAUCCAACAAUCGCGUGACCCGAAUCCAUCAAUCUAGCUGCGUCGUUUUCCCCUUGUCCUUAUCCGCCUUACGUAAGCAGGGCUCGGUGGAGCAAUCUCCUCCCCAAGCGUCCUUGCUCUAAAAUUAGACGGCUUCCUUCAUUUUUCCAUUUGAAUUCGUACUAUUCCGAGCAAGCCAAUAUUAUCUCUUCAGAAAAAGUUUAAAAUUCGAAUUAUGAAUGAAAAAGUCCAUCUGAAAAUUCCCUCUUGAUUCCCCCUUAUUUCAGCCCAUAUCUCUAUAUAUAAACCUCUCUUUCAUCUUCAUUGGGGGUUGGAGGAAAAAUUCUAAUUUUUGGAGAUAGUUAUAGAGAUUUGAAAAAAAUGGAGAUUAGUGAGAUAUAGUAGGAAAAAAAUUGAUGUUAGAAACUAAGGAAAAGAACAAAACAAUGAACUGCUAUUAAUUUCUAAGAGUUUCGUUUGGGUUAUUCAAGUCUUGUGUCGGAGCUUUCAAAAUUUGUGGGGUGUCGGAAGAAGCUCGGUGUCUCCUCAGCUCGUUGCUGCUCGGUUUGUUUUCUCGAAAAAGGUUGAAGAUUUGAAAUUGUGGGAAAUGAGCAUUAGGCAAGACAAAGGUCUAGUUGGCGACUCGCCGAACAGGUCGUCAAGCAUGACGUUGUGUGAACCAACCAUUUUAAUGGAGGUUCUGUAAAACUCAAUAGAAUAAAGUACCACUUGGCGCAUCGCCGAGUGGGCAUGCAUCGAAUCGUGAUACCGACUGGCGCACGAACAGAAGAUUCAAAGGCCAAACCUUUUUAAAUUAAAAAAUCUCCCUCAUUUCAUACUUUUCAUUUUGCAAACUUCCACAACCGCAUAUCUUAUUACUUUCCCACUAUUUUACUUGUUUUUUGUGAGGGAUAUACAACUCGAGAGGAUUUUUGGUUUCAUUAUUAGCCUAGCUUUACAAAUUUUUGGCAUAUAAGGUUGGUUUUUUGAACCGCGCUUUACAUUUUGGCAAUAUAGAAUUGCAUGAUCAUUGUGUGGUUUUUCUU